rnacentral:snoRNA from 1 species
AGCUCAUGGUGAGGACACUUGCGCAAUAAAUCUUUGAAUCGUUCCCAGGUUUAUAUAGAGGCUCCUUAUCAUAUUGAGCGAAUGACACAAUAUCUUGUCGGAAUUU